UCUAAUACCGGAUAACGCCCCCGCCCGCAUGGGGGGGUGUGAAAGCUCCGGCGGUGAGGGAUGAGCCCGCGGCCUAUCAGCUGGUUGGUGAGGUAACGGCUCACCAAGGCGACGACGGG
rnacentral:rRNA from 1 species